AGUGGGGCUAUGUUAUUGUAUUAUUAUUCUUUACAAAUAGGGUAUCUCCGCUGGUCUCGAGGCAUUUUUUCCUCCUUUGUUUGUCUUAUUGAAGAACUUUUGGUGGACGUUGUCUAGCGGCGAACAGCUGUUUUUAUGCCUAAAAAUCAUUGUGGGGUACCUAUAUUGAAUUACCUAGGACUGCCAGGAGUUCGAAUAGGCCAAGACAUUCAAUUUGAACAACACGGUAAAAAUUAACUUUGUGAACUGCUUUACGUCGUUGAAGAACUGAAUAUUGUUGCCACACAAGUCUGUAGCGUGGUGAAUUAAGUAGCUCAGCUGCGAGGUGGGGCUGUUUGUGUUUGGCUUGCCUGCAGUUUAGCAAAUUGAUUCACGUUUUAGUAAAUAAUUGUUUGCAUUGUGAAAAUUAUUUUGGGGGCGUAUCCCGCCUCCAAAAUGUAGAACUUUUUUGAUAAUUCGUAGAAGUCAAGACAGUGAUGUCCAGCGGUUAAAGGUGGUGACACAUUCAUAGACUUCUAGCUUGAACAAUCGUCCACAAAGUUUCGGUAAGUGCGAACAGUCGAUUGCAAUCUCUAUAUUACUUGAGUGGCACUUAUUUCUCGACUCCUGACUGAUUCAUAGGAAAUUCAAGUAGUGAGUUAUCAAAUUUUAGAGAUGCAACUGAACAUCACGAGGCGCGACGUUUUCUAGGAUCGAUCUACUGAUUCUGUUCGCCCACCACUAUCGCAUGUGAACUUGGACUUAACCAUUACUCGCAAGUGAAUAUAACAUGAUAAGCUGCAACAUGCUUUUGCUAAUUGUUUGACGGGGUCUAUGAAGCCGUGAAGAGACAUAUAUCAGCCCUUUUGCACUUAAUCUAGCAGAACAACGAGAAUAUGACACUGGGGGCGGGAGGAGAGUUGCUUCAGCACUCUUAACUGCUGAAGAGACAGAAUAAUGUAAGAUGGUGCGCCUUACCCAAACACACAACGCGGUUCCCGAUCCGGGAAUCAAGACCUCAGCCUUAUGAUUGCUUGAAACGCUGGGAGAACAAAAAAAAUUAGGUCAUGCACGCGCACACACUAAAUCAACAACAGAAAGAACAAAUGAAUCAACAAAUGUUACAGACCUUAAAGUAAACGCUGUCAUGGAUACUACGACUGUUAACAGCCCUGUCACCACCACCAACACCACAGAGACUACCACUGCUACCACCGCUACCACAGCCAAUACCAGCAACAACAAGUCACCGGCCGUCAACACCGACACCACAAUCUGCAAUUUUGCCAGUUUACUGAAAACGGCAAAGAAAACCAUUACAUUAACGG